ensembl:lncRNA MUC20-OT1 MUC20 overlapping transcript
GUGAUGAAUUCUGCCAUGUGGCACCAGACUGCCACCCAGACCACAGUGUCCUCUGCAACCCUGGUAACUCACAUACAGGCCCGAUUCCACCUACAGCAAAGCUGGAUGCGAUGGCUGGCAGAGGCAAACCCUUUGCCUGCACUUCAGGCCAAAGCCGGGAUGUGGCCUAGAUGGUUCCUAAGCUUCUCAGAUGACCAAGAUGGUGCUGCAGAUGGUGCUGAGGAUGGAGAACCCACCAAGCCCCGCUAGGAGCCACCUAGACUGGAUGCAGAGCAUGGACAAUUUGCUGAGGUCUGGGAGCACCCCCUCCAUAGAGUCCCUGAUCUCUCAAAACUUGGUCGUGAUCUAAAGUUUAUUUGAUGUACAACUCCCCCUCUCCUUCUUUUGGAGUUUUAUUUGCUUCCAAGAAGGAAGGCAAGAUUUCCUGGGUCCGUGAUGAUGGAAGGCUGACAACUCUUUUAUGGAGUUUGAGCUUGCUCCCAGCAGGGAAGACAAGUUCGAGUUUUUUUCCUGCUUCAAGGAUGGUAGAGAGCAGUCUUCAGCCUGAGACCCAUCCCUAG